CCUACGGGUGGCUGCAGUGGGGAAUCUUGCGCAAUGGGCGAAAGCCUGACGCAGCGACGCCGCGUGGAGGACGAGGCCCUUCGGGGUGUAAACUCCUGUUGCCCGGGACGAACGAGCGGUUGCGACCGCUGUGACGGUACCGGGUGAGGAAGCACCGGCUAACUCUGUGCCAGCAGCCGCGGUAAUACAGAGGGUGCGAGCGUUGUCCGGAAUCACUGGGCGUAAAGGGCGCGUAGGCGGCCCCUCACGCGUGCCGUGAAAGCCCGGGGCUCAAC
rnacentral:rRNA from 1 species